AUAUGUGGGAGUCACAGUGGUGUUACUGAAUUUUGUCUCUUAGGCUUCCCUGGCUCCCAGUAAGUAUGCCAUUUGUUACCUUCUUCCUUUGUCAGUGAUUGUAAUAAGAAAUUAUGUAAUCAUCAUAGUAUGUGUUGAGAAAUGCCUGCUGUUCCUCCUAUAUUUAUUCUAUGGUGACCUCUCUGUCAUGGAAAUCCUUAUCACAUAUACUGCUGUUCCCUUGAUGCUCAGGGGUUGUUACUUUCCAUGAUUCAAACAAUACCUUUAAUGACAUGUGCUGUCCAACUCUAUAUGAACUUUUUUGGGGGUACACAAAAUUUGCAUUACUGGGAGUGAUGACUGUGAACCAUUAUGUGGCUCUCUGUAACUCUUUGAAGUAAAACAUCAUUAUGAGCAGACACACUGCAUCUGGCUGGUAAUUGUAUUAUUGAUUGGGUUCCUUUCUGAAAUCUGGUCAGUCUAUGCCACAUUUCAGCUCCCU
rnacentral:lncRNA from 1 species